UACGUAGAUGGCGAGCGUUAUCCGGAUUUAUUGGGCGUAAAGAGGGCGCAGACGGUUUUUCAAGUCGGAUGUAAAAUAUCCCAGCUUAACUGGGAGGGAUCAUUCGAUACUGUUAAACUAGAGGACAACAGAGGAAGGUAGAAUUCCCGGUGUAGUGGUGAAAUGCGUAGAUAUCGGGAGGAAUACCAGUGGCGAAGGCGGCCUUCUGGGUUGUUUCUGACGUUCAGGCCCAAAGGCGUGGGGAG
rnacentral:rRNA from 1 species